rnacentral:lncRNA from 10 species
GUAAAAAAAAAUGGGAUUUUUUUGUACUACUCUUGCAAUUUUUUCAUAAGUCUGAAAUUAUGUCUUAAUACAAAAAAUUUAAAAACAAAUCCUUCUAAGUAAGUUUCCUGUAUCUAAUAAAUACUUAAAUUUGUGACAUAUUGUGAAUGCCAUGUUUAUUCAGAUGGAUAUUUUAAUAUCUCUUUCUAAAACUUUAAGGGUAUUUUAUUAAGUUGCUUAAUGUCAUUAUCUGCAAUUAACUAUGAAUAUAUUAUACAUUGGGAAGUCUUGAGCAUAAUAUAAAAGUAAAAUCAAUUAUUUUGGACUUCAAAUUCCUGUUGCCCCAUAACUUGGGUAUUAAUGUCAAAUAUUCUGAUUUUCUGCUUUAAAACCCAGUAUUACUUUAAAAAUGGAGCCUUAGAAAAAAAGAUGUUUAAAAGUAGGCAAAAGACUGUACUUUAAUUAAUAGUACUGUACCAAUGUUAAUUUCUUAGUUUUAAUAAAUGUACCAUAGUUAUGUCACAUGCUAAUAUUGGGGGAGGCUGGGUGAAGGGUAUAUGGGAACUCUCUGUACUACCUUUGUAAAUCUUCUGCAAAUCUAAAAUUAUUUCAAAAUAAAAGGGUUUAAAAAGUAGAAAAGAGAAAAACAGUCUUUCAUAAAAAUACAAAACAAUCUCAUCAUUUAUAAAAUGCUGUGAUAAUGGGACUUAUUUGAAAGAAGAAAAUUACAAAAACUGAGUAAAGUUAUUAAAAAGCAAAAAGAAUAGGGAAAUGAAAAUGGUGUAAAAAUAUUCCAAAGAGGGUUAAAAUCUAGGUGAAUUCCCUUAUUAAGCAAAAUUAUCUAGGUGAACUAGCCUUAGGUGCCUUAUCCUUGAGCCUAAGUAGGGAAAGGGAAAGAGAGGGAGAAACAAGGGCAGCGGGAGAGGGGUGUGAGCUGUGUGGUGUGUGAGGAGGAGAGGGGUGUGAGCUGUGUGGUGUGUGAGGAGAGGGGUGUGAACUGUGUGGUGUGUGAGGAGAGGGGUGUGAGCUGUGUGGUGUGUGAGGAGAGGGGUGUGAGCUGUGUGGUGUGUGAGGAGGAGAGGGGUGUGAGCUGUCUGGUGUGUGAGGAGGAGAGGGGUGUGGGCUGUGUGGUGUGUGAGGAGGAGGGGUGUGAGCUGUCUGGUGUGUGAGGAGAGGGGUGUGGGCUGGGUGGGGUGUGAGCUGUGUGGUGUGUGAGCAGGAGAGGGGUGUGAGCUGUGUGGUGUGUGAGGAGGAGAGGGGUGUGAGCUGUGUGGUGUGUGAGGAGGAGAGGGGUGUGAGCUGUCUGGUGUGUGAGGAGAGGGGUGUGGGCUGUGUGGUGUGUGAGGAGAGGGGUGUGAGCUGUGUGGUGUGUGAGGAGGAGAGGGGUGUGGGCUGUGUGGUGUGUGAGCAGGAGAGGGGUGUGAGCUGUGUGGUGUGUGAGGAGGGGGGUGUGAGCUGUGUGGUGUGUGAGCAGGAGAGGUGCAUGAGCUGUAUGGUGUGUGUGGCCCAGGCUGCUUGAGGACAAUCAGGUUCCACGUAAUAAUUCUGCCACUAAGUGGUUCCUUAAUAUUGGGUAAGUUGCUGAUAUAUUUAAAUCCUGCCUCACUCUCUCCAAAAAAGAGAUUUGAGGCAGCUUAUAAUAAAAUACAAGUAUAUUUCCUU